GCUACUCGUGGUGCUAGCAAGUACUCAAUCAUUUGGAAUCUCCCUGAAAAUCACAAGAUUGAAUUGCCAUUAACUAGUUCAAAUCAGCCAAUUAAGAAGGCAGGGAGGAACUUCACAGGUUGGUUGGGUACAAUUGCACGAAACCCCCAUUUGUGCCCAAUUAAGUAUAAGAAUUGGACAAGAAUGCCAGAUGAAUUUAAGGAACAAAUAUGGGAUAUUGUUCAGUCAAAAUGGAUUUUGCCUGAAGAACCUGCUAAGUUAGAGGCAAUGAAGAAUAGGACAUUGUCCUCAAUUGCAAAAUCUUGGAAGAACCACAAGUUAGCUUUGAAGAAGAAGUAUUUCCUAGGAAGAGGAAAUAGAGCACGAGUACCACCAAAUGUAAUUUCUGAAGAUUAUGAAGACCUUGUUCAGUAUUAGAGUUUACCAAAAACGAAGGAGCUUGCUUUGAAAAACAAGAACAGUCGUUCUAAGCAGACAAAUGUGCAUACUGGUGGUUCAAAAAACUUUGCUUCAUAUGCAGAAGAAAUGGUAACAACGCUUGGGCAUCCUGUAGAGCGUGCGGAUGGUACUCCAGUUAACACCGUAGCAGAAGGCAACAUUGAAAAAAUCAACGAACUGUUGAGUGAGUCCUCAAAUCGUGUGCAAUCAUCUGACCUUACUGGUAGUAUUGCAUGGCACCAGAUGAUAUAUAUGCUCAAGUGUUUGGUAAUGAGCGCAAUGGUCGUAUUCGAGGUGUGGGAUUUGGCCCAACUCCAAGUAUGCAUCCUGCCAAGAGCACUCCUGCAAUUGCUCAAGUAAGAAGCCAAGAAAGGGAUGCUGAAGUGACUCAGUUGGAGAAUCAAGUGGCUUCUUUGACGGAGAAAGUGAAUCGUUAUGAAAACUUGGAGGAGCGAAUGACCCAAUUGAUGCAACUAGUGCAAAAUCAGCAAAAUCAUUCUUCAGAAGCUAGUCGGGGUGGUUUCGGUUUAGAUCAUCAAUCUCCAACUCCUUACAGGUCACAGGCUUCAUCCCAUCAAGAAACUAGCAUAUAGCGGUACAUGCAAUGUUUUAAGGACUCCAUGGGCUACUACAUAGUUAUUUUGAACAACCACAAUUAUUUUGGAACUAUUGUACUUUGUUUAUAAUAUUGUCAUAGUUUGGGUGGUGGUUCUUUUUUGGUAUAGGUAGACAAGUGUUUU